UACGUAGGGUGCGAGCGUUAAUCGGAAUUACUGGGCGUAAAGCGUGCGCAGGCGGUUCGUUGUGUCGGCGGUGAAAGCCCCGGGCUCAACCUGGGAAUGGCCGUUGAAACUGUUUAGCUUGAGUAUGAGAGAGGUGAGUGGAAUUCCCAGUGUAGAGGUGAAAUUCGUAGAUAUUGGGAAGAACACCGGUGGCGAAGGCGGCUCACUGGCUCAUUACUGACGCUCAGGCGCGACAGCGUGGGGUGCAAACAGG
rnacentral:rRNA from 1 species